rnacentral:lncRNA from 1 species
UUCUGUUUUAACUUGCAGAUGGACGCCCUUCAGGAUGAGAAACCUGGGAGGAAAACUCUGUGCUAGACCAGAUCUGCUAAGACUCGGCUCGUGCUGAUGUCUGCAAGAUGGGGCUUAACCCAGGGGAGUUCUCCCAGAACCAUUUGAUCCUGCCUGCUUAGCUGCAUGGGUGUGUGAGGGUUAUCGUGUGUUCUCCCCCCUCCGGCUGUGGCAGAAGAUCAAUCAGGCAUUUUCACGGGUACGCUCUCAAGACAGAUCUUCCCCUCAAUGAAGCAAAGAUUCACAUUCAGGUGGGAAGUCUGAGCAUGGACAUUUCCAUCAAUCCACAGAAAAUCGGCCAUCGGGGAAAGGUG